UUCUUAUCCUGUUAGAACUGAAACAAAAUCUCUGCAAAUAAUGGCGAGCUGUUUGAGAAGAUAUGGAAGAAGACUAUCCGUUUCAAUUUGCGAGAAGCGGGAACUCUCCACAGCUUGUGAGGGUAAGGUUAUUCAACAACAACAACAACAAACUGCUAAAUUGUUGAACCUUUGUUCUGCCAUCAACCAAGCUCUCCAUCUCGCCUUAGAAACCGAUCCUCGUUCUUAUGUGUUUGGAGAAGAUGUGAGCUUUGGUGGGGUAUUUCGUUGCACAACUGGACUAACUGAACGAUUUGGCAAAAAUCGAGUCUUCAAUACUCCUCUUUGUGAGCAGGGCAUUGUUGGAUUUGGCAUUGGUCUGGCAGCAAUGGGGAACAGGGCCAUAGCAGAAAUUCAAUUUGCAGAUUAUAUCUAUCCUGCUUUUGAUCAGAUUGUUAAUGAAGCCGCAAAGUUCAGAUACCGGAGUGGGAAUCAAUAUGAUUGUGGAGGUUUAACCAUAAGAGCACCAUAUGGAGCUGUGGGCCAUGGUGGACAUUAUCACUCUCAAUCCCCUGAAGCUUUCUUUUGUCAUGUUCCUGGUAUCAAAGUGGUUAUCCCUCGAAGUCCACAGCAAGCAAAAGGAUUAUUAUUGUCAUGCAUACGGGAUCCAAACCCUGUUGUCUUUUUUGAACCAAAAGUACUGUGCUCUGUCUGCCCAGAUUAAAUAAAUAAUUGGCCCAUAUUUUUCAAUUCAACAUUUCUGUGUUUGAUGUCAAGUGAAUCCCUUGGAUUUGCAGUGGCUUUAUCGCUUGGCAGUAGAAGAGGUCCCUGAGCAUGAUUAUAUGUUGCCAUUGUCAGAGGCAGAGGUAUGCUACUUCUGCCUUUUAGGGAAGAUUUUUGGAAUUGUAAAUCUGAACAAAAUUGCAAUUAAAAUAUCAGGUGAUCCGAGAAGGCAGUGACAUAACUCUUGUUGGUUGGGGAGCACAACUGUCUAUCAUGGAGCAGGCUUGUACUGAUGCCGAGAAGGUAAAUUGCCACAAAAUUCCCUUUCAUGAAACUUGAACUCUACCUUCCAUGAGUCAUGAUUUGUAUCCUGCAUCAAAAGUGCUAUAGAAGGAUUCUUGGUAUAUUUGUUAGGCUAAAUGACAUUAUCUUUAGUGAACCUUUUUGGUUGAUGGGCCAAUAUUGUUAGAAAUGGUAUUAGAAUUGACUUUGUGUGUGGUUAUUCUGUUUUAUUUCUGUUGUGAGCCAAUAGGAAUUCAAAAUUGUUGCUCUUAUUUUUGUGCCGCCCGUACCUAGCAUGAUCACCAAGGGUUAUGAGUUGGAAAUUUUCACAUAGCCUAUAGCUCACAUUAAUAUUCCAAUGGAGACAUCCAUAAGGCUGUUUGGCAUUGUUAUUUGAGCUAUUGUUGAGAAAAACACUACUUUAAAUAUAUUAAUUAGAGGCCAUUAAAAAUUGGUUUUAAGUUAAAUUUAACAUGUAUUAGUCAUAAGGACUCGAAAACAGCUAAACAACUUUUUCAAACUGUUUUUUGCAACAUCUAAAAUAUUGCCUUUGCAGAAUGUAUGUUAGACCUGAAAAGCAGUUUCAGCUAUCCCUUUUGGAUGAUGGGCCUGUGACACUAUAAAACCAUGUCACCAACAUGUAAACUCCCUUGAUAUCUUGUUGACAAUUAUACAAGGACAAGUUUAGCCAAGGAUAAGUACAUAUGAGCAUAACCUAUGUGAAGCUUGUACCAAAUUUGGAAGAAGGAUUAGGGCAACUCAAUGGGAAUUCAAUGCACAAUGGAAACUUUGUUAGCUUUGAGAAGGCUAGCAUUAAUUUUUGCAUGAGUUGAUAAAGAUUAAUAGCAAAAUGAUUGAACUAAUGAGGUGAAGGUAGAUGAAGGAGAAAUCGAUGAUGGAGCUAGCAGAAAUGAGCAGUAGGUGAGUUCUAAUACAUGAAUUAGAAGGAGAUUAACUAAUAUGUUCCAUAUGAGCUUCAUAAGCAAGAAGCAUAGAUUUAAAGAACACGGGAGGAGAUACCUGAUUAGAUUAACUGUUAUCAAGGACUUAUAUAUUGGAGGAAGGCCUUGGGUAAUGGCAUCACUUUGUUAUAGCAUGAAAGAGGUUGAUGAAUAGCUGCUAAAGCAUUGGCAGGUUCCUGAAAUAAUGGCACUAUGUAUCAAUGCAAAGCUCCUCUGUAAAGAUUAGCAAUCUGAAUUUGAGAUUAAGUUUGUGAGACAUGCAUUUUUCAAGAAAGUGCUAAUGCACUGACGCAGCAAAGCUAGAUAAAUCACACACACACACACACACACAC
rnacentral:misc_RNA from 1 species